rnacentral:rRNA from 1 species
UACGGAGGGUGCGAGCGUUAAUCGGAAUUACUGGGCGUAAAGCGCGCUUAGGUGGUUUGGUAAGUCGGAUGUGAAAGCCCCGGGCUUAACUUGGGAAUUGCAUUCGAUACUGCUUAACUAGAGUAUGGUAGAGGGAAGCGGAAUUCCGGGUGUAGCGGUGAAAUGCGUAGAUAUCCGGAGGAACAUCAGUGGCGAAGGCGGCUUCCGGGACCAAUACUGACGAUGAGGUGCGAAAGCGUGGGGAGCAAACAGG